rnacentral:rRNA from 1 species
UGGGGGAUAUUGCACAAUGGGCGAAAGCCUGAUGCAGCGACGCCGCGUGGGGGAUGAAGGCCUUCGGGUUGUAAACUUCUUUUGCUCUGAACAAGGCAUGCUUUUGGGGUGUGUUGAGUGUAGGGGUUGAUUAGCGCCGGCUAACUACGUGCCAGCAGCCGCGGUAAUACGUAGGGCGCGAGCGUUGUCCGGAAUUAUUGGGCGUAAAGGGCUUGUAGGUGGCUGGUUGCGUCUGUCGUGAAAGCUCAUGGCUUAACUGUGGGUUUGCGGUGGGUACGGGCUGGCUUGAGUGCAGGAGGGGCGGGUGGAAUUCCUGGUGUAGCGGUGGAAUGCGCAGAUAUCAGGAGGAAUACCGGUGGCGAAGGCGGGUCUCUGGGCUGUUACUGACGCUGAGGAGCGAAAGCGUGGGGAGCGAACAGG